UACGUAGGGUGCAAGCGUUAAUCGGAAUUACUGGGCGUAAAGCGUGCGCAGGCGGUUUUGUAAGUCUGACGUGAAAUCCCCGGGCUCAACCUGGGAAUUGCGUUGGAGACUGCAAGGCUAGAAUCUGGCAGAGGGGGGUAGAAUUCCACGUGUAGCAGUGAAAUGCGUAGAGAUGUGGAGGAAUACCGAUGGCGAAGGCAGCCUCCUGGGCCAACACUGACGCUCAUGCACGGAAGCGUGGGGAGCAAACAGG
rnacentral:rRNA from 1 species